rnacentral:rRNA from 1 species
GGACGGGUGAGUAACACGUGGAUAACCUACCUAUAAGACUGGGAUAACUUCGGGAAACCGGAGCUAAUACCGGAUAAUAUAUUGAACCGCAUGGUUCAAUAGUGAAAGACGGUUUUGCUGUCACUUAUAGAUGGAUCCGCGCCGCAUUAGCUAGUUGGUAAGGUAACGGCUUACCAAGGCAACGAUGCGUAGCCGACCUGAGAGGGUGAUCGGCCACACUGGAACUGAGACACGGUCCAG